GAUUGGAUCAUGGCUGGCAUCAAACUGACUGCAAGGAAUGCCUAUAAAGAGUACCUGAAAAAAUGCAAAGAGUUUGUGAGACCCGCAAGAACAUUUGCUGCUUUCAGAAGAAAGAGAGAGAGGAUGAUUGAGGCAUUUGGACCAGCAGACUAAUUCACGUGGAAGACAAUUUAAAUGUGUUUCGUUGAACGAAAAAGGCCAACCAACACCCUUACUAAACCCAACAUUUUGGAGGAAUAUCCCUAUUUCUUGAUUUUUUAUUAUGUUUUCCUUAAAUUUAUUGGGUGACAUCUUAUUUUUUGGUUCAUUUGAACUGGCUUUAAACUAAUCAUGACUCAU